AGGAAGUUAGGCUGAGGGGCAGAGAGCGAGACUUUUCUAUUUUCCAAAAGCUCGGUCUGAGGCCCCUCAGUCUUGCUUCCUACCCCGCGC
rnacentral:pre_miRNA from 2 species